AAGACUGGGGCUCAACCCCAGGGGUGCGUUGGAUACUGUGAGGCUAGACGGUCGGAGGGGGUAGCGGAAUUUCCGGAGUAGCGGUGAAAUGCGCAGAUACCGGAAGGAACGCCAAUAGCGAAGGCAGCUACCUGGACGACUUGUGACGCUGAGGCGCGAAAGCGUGGGGAGCAAACCGGAUUAGAUACCCGGGUAGUCCACGCCCUAAACCAUAAGUGCUGGGUGUCCGGCUUCUGCUGGGUGCCGUAGCUAACGCGCUAAGCACUCCGCCUGGGAAGUACGCACGCAAGUGUGAAACUCAAAGGAAUUGACGGGGGCCCGCACAAGCGGUGGAGCAUGUGGUUUAAUUCGAAGCGACGCGAAGAACCUUACCAGGCCUUGACAUGCCCGGAACCCCUCUGAAAGGAGGGGGUGCCCGCAAGGGAGCCGGGACACAGGUGCUGCAUGGCCGUCGUCAGCUCGUGUCGUGAGAUGUUGGGUUAAGUCCCGCAACGAGCGCAACCCCUAUCCCUAGUUGCCAGCAGUUCGGCUGGGCACUCUAUGGAGACUGCCUGCGAAAGCAGGAGGAAGGCGGGGAUGACGUCUGGUCCGCAUGGCCCUUACGGCCUGGGCGACACACGUGCUACAAUGCCAAGGACAGAGCGCUGCUACCUCGCGAGAGGACGCCAAUCGCAAAAACCUUGGCUCAGUUCGGAUUGGAGUCUGCAACUCGACUCCAUGAAGCCGGAAUCG
rnacentral:rRNA from 1 species